CCAUCACUGCUCCAGGGCCAGAGCCAGAUCCGAAUGUGCAAGCCCCCUGGAGACCGUCUGCGACAGACAGAGAACCGUGCCACACGCUGCAAAGUGGAACGCCUCCAGCUCCUGCUGCAGCAGAAGCGCCUGCGAAGGAAGGCACGGCGGGACGCCCGGGGUCCUUACCACUGGACCCCAAGCCGCAAAGCUGGUCGUAGUGACAGCAGCAGCAGUGGGGGUGGAGGUAGCCCCAGCGAGGCCACAGGCUUGGGCCUCGACUUCGAGGACUCCGUUUGGAAGCCUGAAGUCAACCCAGACAUCCAGUCCGAGUUUGUGGUGGCUUAAAGAAUCCCCUUGGGCCUGAACAUCCUCUACCCCAUACACGGGGCAGGAGGACGACACAGACUGGACGCUGAGCGGCCCAGCUCUGGGGGGGAGGGGCAGGAGGUCACCUCCAUUGCCACUUACCAGCCUUUCUGAUUCUUUUUUAGCUCCUCCCCUGGUUGUCUACCCUGCAUCCCUGGUCACGUGCCCACCUGUCUUUCUUCCCUUACCAUGGUCAGGGCCUCUGAGACAGGGCCCUUCCCUCCCACCUUCUCCAGUUCCAAAUAUGUAGCAGUCUGUUCCCAGAUGGCCCAGACGGAGGAAGCCACCCACCCCAGCCCUUCCGCUCUGCCUAGCUCUCCCCACCCCCUUCCAUAACCCAAUUCAGGUUUUUAAACUC
rnacentral:lncRNA from 1 species